ACUCAAAGGAAUUGACGGGGACCCGCACAAGCGGUGGAACGUGUGGUUUAAUUCGUCGCUAAGCGAAAAACCUUACCGAGGCUUGACAUCUCUGGAAGGCGAUGGAAACAUUGCUGUGCCGAAAGGAACCAGAUGACAGGUGCUGCAUGGCUGCCGUCAGCUCGUGUUGUGAAAUGUUCGGUUAAGUCCGUCAACGAGCGCAACCCUCAUUGCAUGUUGUAUUUCUCAUGCAAGACUGCCCUGGUUAACAGGGAGGAAGGUGGGGAUGACGUCAAGUCAGCAUGGCUCUUACGCCUCGGGCUACACACGCGUUACAAUGGAUGGUACAAUGGGUCGCCAACUCGCAAGAGGGAGCCAAUCCCAUCAAAACCAUCCCCAGUUCGGAUUAGAGGCUGAAACCCGCCUCUAUGAAGUCGGAAUCGCUAGUAACCGCGAAUCAGCACGUCGCGGUGAAUACGUUCCCGGGUCUUGCACACACCGCCCGU
rnacentral:rRNA from 1 species